rnacentral:rRNA from 1 species
AUUGAACGCUGGCGGCAGGCUUAACACAUGCAAGUCGAACGAGUGGCGGACGGGUGAGUAAUGUCUGGGAAACUGCCUGGUGGCGGGGGAUAACUACUGGAAAGGGUAGCUAAUACCGCAUACCAUCGGAUGUGCCCAGAUUGGAGUAGCUAGUGGGUGGGGUAAAGGCUCACCUAGGCGACGAUCCCUAGCUGGUCUGAGAGGAUGACCAGCCACACUGGAACUGAGACACGGUCCAGACUCCUACGGGAGGCAGCAGUGGGGAAUAUUGGACAAUGGGGGAAAGCCUGAUACAGCCAUGCCGCGUGUAUGAUGAAGGCCUUCGGGUUGUAAAGUACUUUCAGCGGAGAGGCGUUACCCGCAGAAUAAGCACCGGCUAACUCCGUGCCAGCAGCCGCGGUAAUAC